rnacentral:rRNA from 1 species
UACGGAGGGUGCAAGCGUUAAUCGGAAUUACUGGGCGUAAAGCGCACGUAGGCGGCUUUCUAAGUCGGGGGUGAAAUCCUGGAGCUCAACUCCAGAACUGCCUUCGAUACUGGAGAGCUCGAGUCCGGGAGAGGUGAGUGGAACUGCGAGUGUAGAGGUGAAAUUCGUAGAUAUUCGCAAGAACACCAGUGGCGAAGGCGGCUCACUGGCCCGGUACUGACGCUGAGGUGCGAAAGCUAGGGUAGCAAACAGG